CUCUACGGGCUAAGCUGGACCCUCGCAGACCUACCUUCCCACCUUGCAUUCGGCCCCGAGCAGCGUGCUCAGGCCACGUGGAGAAGCCACCCCUAGUUCCAAGGGUGGAUGUGGCACCUCGGCCUGGCCAAUCAGAGCUGCCGGUGUCCUAGGUCCCAGUGACUAGUUCAAGUUGGACGCAUGGCCCAACAAGAGGCCUUUCCUGGGAGUUCUGCCAGGAGCAUGGUGGCGAGGGGUGGGGGGUGGACCUGAGAACCUUGCCUGGGGCCCUGGAUCCAGCUGUACCUGAUGCUAGCCAAUUUCAUUUCAAUUCUUCAGUUUCAUCGAUCUCUGAAUUAUGAUUUUUGCCAAAA